GUGGGUUGGCUCAAUGGUUAGAGCGUAGGACUCGUAACCGAAAGGCUGCGGGAUCGAAUCCCGCUAGAGGCUGCA
rnacentral:tRNA from 1 species